rnacentral:rRNA from 1 species
ACGAACGCUGGCGGCGUGCCUAACACAUGCAAGUCGAGCGAAGUGACUCGGAGUAAAGUUUUUCGGACAGAGCGAAGAGUCAUCUUAGCGGCGGACGGGUGAGUAACGCGUGAGAAACCUGCCUUUCACAAAGGGAUAGCCUCGGGAAACUGGGAUUAAUACCUUAUGAUACUUCAUAGUCGCAUGACGAGGAAGUUAAAGCGAUAAGCGGUGAAAGAUGGUCUCGCGUCCUAUUAGCUAGUUGGUGAGGUAACGGCUCACCAAGGCUUCGAUAGGUAGCCGGCCUGAGAGGGUGAACGGCCACACUGGGACUGAGACACGGCCCAAACUCCUACGGGAGGCA